UGGGGAAUCUUGGACAAUGGGGGCAACCCUGAUCCAGCCAUGCCGCGUGAGUGAUGAAGGCCUUAGGGUCGUAAAGCUCUUUCGCCUGUGAAGAUAAUGACGGUAGCAGGUAAAGAAACCCCGGCUAACUCCGUGCCAGCAGCCGCGGUAAUACGGAGGGGGUUAGCGUUGUUCGGAAUUACUGGGCGUAAAGCGCACGUAGGCGGACCAGAAAGUUGGGGGUGAAAUCCCGGGGGCUCAACCCCGGAACUGCCUCCAAAACUAUUGGUCUAGAGUUCGAGAGAGGUGAGUGGAAUUCCAAGUGUAGAGGUGAAAUUCGUAGAUAUUUGGAGGAACACCAGUGGCAAAGGCGGCUCACUGGCUCGAUACUGACGCUGAGGUGCGAAAGUGUGGGGAGCAAACAGGAUUAGAUACCCCUGGUAGUCCACACCGUAAAACGAUGAAUGCCCAGUCGUCGGGUAGCAUGCUAUUCGGUGACACACCUAACGGA
rnacentral:rRNA from 1 species